CUUAGCCUGAUUUCAUCGAUGGAUGGGUCGGCUCUUACCAGCUGCGCCGCGGUAAUAAUCCUUCUUUUCCUGCCGUUGGGCGCAUCCGACGACCGGCUUGUGCCCGGCAGGGCGCUCUCCCCGGGCAACACCAUCGUUUCUGAUGAUGGUGGAUUUGCCUUGGGCUUCUUCAACCCCUCCAAUUCCACUCCGGCUAGGCUGUACCUAGGCGUAUGGUACAACGACAUCCCCGAGCUCACCGUUGUGUGGGUCGCCAACCGAGAUACUCCGGCCACCAACACAACUUCCUCAGCACCGAAGCUCUCCCUCACCAACAACUCUAAUCUGGUUCUCUCCGACAGUGAUGGUGGCAGCCGUGUCAUUUGGAUGACAGCCAACAUGGCUACUGCUAUGGUCUCGUCUACCCCGACGGCGGUGCUUCUAAACACCGGUAACCUCGUCAUCCGAUCGUCAAACGGCACCACGCUAUGGCAGAGCUUCGACCACCCCACAGACACGUUCCUUCCCAGCAUGAAGCUUGGCAUAAACUACAUGACACUUACCACCACCGGGCGCAUGGUAUCCUGGAAAGACACCAGCAACCCCUCGCGGGGGCGCUUCUCCUAUGGUAGCGACACAAAUAAGUCGGUCCAAUUAUUCCUGUGGGACGUCGAGCACCCGGUAUCUCGUGCGCCCCCAUGGACAGGGUAUCUAGGCAAACAACAACUACUUGCAGCCACAAAUAUCAGCGAUCUUAUCAUCUACCUAGCCUAUGUUGACAAUGACGAUGAGGCAUACAUCUCUUAUAGCCUCUCCGAGGGCGCCCCACGCACCAGGAUUGUGCUAACCUACUAUGGCGAGUUUCAGGCUCAAAGCUGGAGCAGUAGGUCAUCCGCAUGGGUUGUCCUUUGGAAAUUUUCAACAGUUGAGUGCAGCCGUUACAAUUACUGCGGCCCAUAUGGUUACUGUGACGAGACGGCCACAGCACCCACGUUGGCAACAUGCAAGUGCCUUGAUGGCUUUGAACCGAGUAGCACGGAGGAGUGGACCAGCGGCAAAUUCUCGGCGGGGUGCCGACGGAAGGAAGCACUGCGAGGAUGCAGUGACGGCUUCGUUGCCUUGCCGGGAAUGAAGUCACCUGACAGGUUUUUACUUUUAGGUGGAGGUAGGAGUAAGUAUGAGGAGUGUGCGGCGGAGUGCAGCCGCAAUUGCUCCUGUGUGGCAUACGCGUUCGCCAACCUG
rnacentral:rRNA from 1 species